AUAUGUAAAGAAAGAACCGUUUCCAUCCUGGGCCUCAACUCUGCUGGUUCUGCUGGUUCUGGUUCUCAUCGUCUGUGCGGGUCUUUUAUAUCAUUUUGAAGGUUAUUUCCUGCCAGCUCCACAGGUGAAGGUGGAUCCAUGGGAGAAGUUUGUCCUGCUGCCCUGCAGAACCAGAGUCUGCCUGCCUGGAGGCGCUAGAGUGGAGUGGAGGGACGGAGAGAACAGGA